rnacentral:lncRNA from 10 species
UACAGAUGAAGCAUUGCUCACUGGCCCGCCACUCACCACUCACCUCCUGCUGUUCCUGACUGCAGCCCAGUUCCUAAUAGGCCACAGACCAAUACUCAUCCAUGGCCUGGAGAUUGGAUACCCCUACAUUAGAGGAUUCUGUAAAGGAUGCUGGGAAGGAAUGAUGGGAAAGCCAGAACCAGUAAGGGAGAUGCCUCAGUGGUCAGAGAGUUUCCAGAGGGAGUUUUAAUGGUUGGACAUGGUUUUCUGCAGCAUCUUGGAAGACAACCAGUCCCAGGACCUAUAAACAGUGCUUCCCUUCAGACACAGCUUUUAUCUUGAUUGGGCAGAGAAAGACAGACUGUUCCCUUGCUGAUAAAGGGCUUUUUGAAGACUUUUACAUAACUUCUGCAAUUCACUGGAAAAUAACACCCAGGAAAAGGCUGGGUGUUGGGGGUGGAUAAUAAACUUUUACUGCUAUAUGAAAAGUUACAUUUUUCAGAGUAAUAUGGUGAUUACAGAUAAAAUAACAAAAUAAAUUUUAAUAACACCACAUUGCCGAGUCAUCAAAGAAUUGGGCACUGGUCCAGUAACUUCUGG